CCAGGGAUUGCAGCCGCCAGUCCCGGGCUCUCCUCUGGGGGAGAGGAUGCGCUUCAGCCUCGCAGCUCUCCCUCACACCGCGGAUCGCAGCUUCCUGCUCGGGGACCGGGAGGGCAAAGGACGCUUCCUGGGAGGAGCCAGGAGAAAGCCUGCGGGGUAGCAUAAUACCUCCGCGCCGCUAAGGGAGGGGAUCUCGCCACGGAUCCUGCCCCGCUAGGCAAGGAGCGGAGACGGCCAGGUGUCAGAGCUGCUGGAGACAGACGCAUCACACCAUGGCAGCCACUGCCCCAUGCAUGUUCCGGGAAGUAGUGGGAGCCAGCCACAGGAGCCAUCUUAGCAAGGGGGUGGGCACCCCCAGGAGCAUGACUGAAUUUACAGCCUGUACCCAGCGUGGAAACAUGAUGUUGGUGGAAACCGUUCCUGGCAAGGUUGCCAGCUCUCUGUCUGACUGAAAGGGGAAAACAAGCUUUCCAGUUUUUUCAACUCCUAAGAAACCAACUGAACCAGUUGAAUAAACUGAAAUAAAGAAACUAUUCUCUGCAGAAGAGACUACUGCUGUCAAAAGAUGUCUCAAUAGCAUAUCCUUUCCUGUUGCUCCCAGAUGUCAUACACUGAGCUCUGGUGAGUACUGAUGCUAUUUAUAAUGUUUAAAGGCAAACCACAUAGGAAACAUGGAAAACCAUGUUAUUGUAAACUAAGAAGAUACUAAUCACAACAAGUAGUUACACAGAAAGAAAAAUGUUUA